rnacentral:rRNA from 1 species
AUGCACGCUGGCGGCGUGCCUAAUACAUGCAAGUCGCGCGAACAGAUAAGGAGCUUGCUCCUUUGACGUUAGCGGCGGACGGGUGAGUAACACGUGGGUAACCUACCUAUAAGACUGGGAUAACUUCGGGAAACCGGAGCUAAUACCGGAUAAUAUUUCGAACCGCAUGGUUCGAUAGUGAAAGAUGGUUUUGCUAUCACUUAUAGAUGGACCCGCGCCGUAUUAGCUAGUUGGUAAGGUAACGGCUUACCAAGGCGACGAUACGUAGCCGACCUGAGAGGGUGAUCGGCCACACUGGAACUGAGACACGGUCCAGACUCCUACGGGAGGCAGCAGUAGGGAAUCUUCCGCAAUGGGCGAAAGCCUGACGGAGCAACGCCGCGUGAGUGAUGAAGGUCUUCGGAUCGUAAAACUCUGUUAUUAGGGAAGAACAUACGUGUAAGUAACUGUGCACGUCUUGACGGUACCUAAUCAGAAAGCCACGGCUAACUACGUG